CCACGACAGAUCCCAUCCACAACCCGUCGCUCCACCCCCGCUCGCCUCCGGACUCUUUCGCAUUCCUCACUCUCCGUCUCGGUUCCAAUGGCGGAUCUCCACCCGCCGGAGGCUCCGGCGAACGGCGGCGGCCCGGUGGAAACCCUCGUCCCCUUCCCGGGCUCCAAGCGGCAGCGCCGCCCCAGCGUCCGCCUCGGCGAGAUCGGCGACCAACCCGCCGCCAUCCCCUACGAGCCCUACUUCCGCCGCACGAAGCACUGGAAGCUCCCCUCCGACGACCACAAGCCCCGCACUCACCUCCCGAAAGACCCCGCCAAGCACCCCUCCAGGACCCGCCCCCUCACCACACUCGCCCCCGACGGCGACGCCCUCGACGCCCUCCCGACCACCGACGACCACGUCCUCCUCCCCGUCGACGAGAACCUCGACCCCCUUGCUGCCGGGAUCCGGCGGGGGAGCCGCGACGGGAAGGCGUGGCGGGGCGGUGGAGUGAGGCGGGCGCGGUCGAGCUGGAUUCCGAAGGUCGACGAGGGCAACGAAGGUGCCGACUUGAAAUCGAGCGGCGGGGAGGACGCUGGCGAUGAGGGCUACAGGGAGGGUUCAGAGAGUCCUUUGGAUAUGAAUGAUAGGCGGGCGGCAGCUAGAGUUAGGGUUUCGGAGAGCCGGGAUGGUGGUCCUUUGGCUGAGGGAGAUUUGCCAUCGGAGACGGACAACAGGGAUUGGAACAAUCGGAACGGGUGGUGCCGGUCGGUCGAGGAUGGUGGAGUCCGAUCGUGGCUUAAUAGUCUGGGGCUGGGCCGGUACGCUCCAGUGUUUGAGAUCCAUGAGGUGGAUGAUGAGGUGCUGUCAAUGCUGACGCUGGAGGAUCUGAAGGACAUGGGGAUUAAUGCGGUUGGAUCGAGGAGGAAGAUGUACUGGGCUAUCCAGAAGCUCAAGAAGAAGGCCAUGUGAUUGUUGCGCGCAUAGAUGGUGUCCUUCAAGGAAAAAGGAUAUUUUGGCUGCCUGAAGUGGGUUUUUCUCUUGUGGAGAAAGCAGGGUCUUCAAUCUUUGAGAUUAUCAAGCACAGUGAUGAGGCUUCUAUGCCCUCUAGCACUAUGAAUAUCUUGUGUGCGGCUAAACUGACACCCAAAAUUCAUGUCUUAGAGGUGAUAUUAUGCAAGUGUUUCCAUUUUCUCAAGAGAGCAUAGAAAUAGGCAAAAUAGUAACCAUGUUUUAAGCAGCAGAUAUGAAGUACUUAUAGGAGCUAUGUGACAACUGUAUGCCUUUGAGAUAAAGGAAAUUAAAACAAAGAGCCAUGGUGUUGCGAUAAUCAGAGUGUUCACAGCAAGGAGCUAGCAUGGUAAACGAAAGCUUAUCUUCAAAGCUGGAAGUUAUAUUACGAAUGCAUGCUUGUGGAUCCAGUUCAGUUAGUUUUUUUUCUUUUUUAUCAUUCUUUUAUUCUGGGUGUGCUUUAGAGCCUCAGAAAUGUGAAUUUUGAGUGUAGCAGUAGAUUUCUCCAAUUCAGCUGCAGAUUUUUCAAGAAGAUUUAAUCUUGUAGCCAUAUCUGUUGCCUAGUAGAACAACCCAAGGGGGGAUGAAUUGGGUUUAUCAAAAUUUAAGCAAAUAAUAUGCAAUUUUAAAAAAUUAGUGAAGUAAUAAUGAGUGUAGAGAUACGAUAUGCAGAAAUAUAAAUGAAAAGAAAGUAAGAAAGAAGAACACAAUCACAAACACAAUCGAUGUAUGGUGGUUCGGUGCCCUUUGCACCUACAUCCAUUCCCCAAG